rnacentral:misc_RNA from 1 species
CAAAAUUCUUCCAGAGUCACCCAAUUUCAAGGUUAAAGUGACGUUGGAUGUCAAGCAAGGUGGAGGACCCAAGAGCCAGUUCUAUUUGAUAGAUAUUGGCAGCUGUUGGAAGAACAAUGGCGAUCCUUGUGAUGGAGAUGUGCUCACUGAUGUGACCAGAUAUAGUGAGAUGAUCAUCAAUCCUGCAACUCCUGCAUGGUGUGGUCCCAACAGUCAAGGGAACUGCCCACCAUAUCACAUUACCCCAA